UACGUAGGGUGCAAGCGUUAAUCGGAAUUACUGGGCGUAAAGCGUGCGCAGGCGGUUUUGUAAGUCUGGGGUGAAAUCCCCGGGCUUAACCUGGGAAUUGCGUUGGAGACUGCAAGGCUAGAGUAUGGCAGAGGGGGGUAGAAUUCCGCGUGUAGCAGUGAAAUGCGUAGAGAUGUGGAGGAACACCGAUGGCGAAGGCGGCCCCCUGGGUCAAGACUGACGCUCAUGCACGAAAGCGUGGGGAGCAAACAGG
rnacentral:rRNA from 1 species